CGUGGCGGACGGGUGAGUAACGCGUGGGUAACCUGCCAUAUACAGGGGGAUAACACUUAGAAAUAGGUGCUAAUACCGCAUAAGCGCACAGGGGCGCAUGCCCCGGUGUGAAAAACUCCGGUGGUAUAUGAUGGACCCGCGUCUGAUUAGCCAGUUGGCAGGGUAACGGCCUACCAAAGCGACGAUCAGUAGCCGGCCUGAGAGGGUGGACGGCCACAUUGGGACUGAGACACGGCCCAAACUCCUACGGAAGGCAGCAG
rnacentral:rRNA from 1 species